rnacentral:rRNA from 1 species
UGGGGAAUAUUGCACAAUGGGCGCAAGCCUGAUGCAGCCAUGCCGCGUGUGUGAAGAAGGCCUUCGGGUUGUAAAGCACUUUCAGCGGGGAGGAAGGCGUUAAGGUUAAUAACCUUGGCGAUUGACGUUACCCGCAGAAGAAGCACCGGCUAACUACGUGCCAGCAGCCGCGGUAAUACGGAGGGUGCAAGCGUUAAUCGGAAUUACUGGGCGUAAAGCGCACGCAGGCGGUUUGUUAAGUCAGAUGUGAAAUCCCCGGGCUCAACCUGGGAACUGCAUCUGAUACUGGCAAGCUUGAGUCUCGUAGAGGGGGGUAGAAUUCCAGGUGUAGCGGUGAAAUGCGUAGAGAUCUGGAGGAAUACCGGUGGCGAAGGCGGCCCCCUGGACGAAGACUGACGCUCAGGUGCGAAAGCGUGGGGAGCAAACAGG